rnacentral:rRNA from 1 species
GAGGGGUAUGGUUCUUCGGAACAGAGACCGGCGCACGGGUGCGUAACGCGUAUGCAAUCUACCUUUUACAGAGGGAUAGCCCAGAGAAAUUUGGAUUAAUACCUCAUAGCAUAGCAACUUCGCAUGAUGUCGCUAUUAAAGUCACAACGGUAAAAGAUGAGCAUGCGUCCCAUUAGCUAGUUGGUAAGGUAACGGCUUACCAAGGCUACGAUGGGUAGGGGUCCUGAGAGGGAGAUCCCCCACACUGGUACUGAGACACGGACCAGACUCCUACGGGAGGCAGCAGUGAGGAAUAUUGGACAAUGGGCGCAAGCCUGAUCCAGCCAUGCCGCGUGCAGGAUGACGGUCCUAUGGAUUGUAAACUGCUUUUAUACGAGAAGAAACACUCCAACGUGUUGGAGCUUGACGGUAUCGUAAGAAUAAGGAUCGGCUAACUCCGUGCCAGCAGCCGCGGUAAUACGGAGGAUCCAAGCGUUAUCCGGAAUCAUUGGGUUUAAAGGGUCCGU